rnacentral:tRNA from 1 species
GGACGUGUAGCUCAGCGGUAGAGCACCUCGUUGACAUCGAGGGGGUCACAGGUUCGAUCCCUGUCACGUCCACCA